rnacentral:rRNA from 1 species
AUACGAAGGGGGAAAGCGUUGUUCGGAAUUACUGGGCGUAAAGCGUACGUAGGCGGUUGGUUAAGUUAGAUGUGAAAGCCCCGGGCUUAACCUGGGAACUGCAUUUAAAACUGGCGAACUAGAGUUGAGUAGAGGGGAGUGGAAUUUCAGGUGUAGCGGUGAAAUGCGUAGAGAUCUGAAGGAACACCAGUGGCGAAGGCGACUCCCUGGACUCGAACUGACGCUGAGGUACGAAAGCGUGGGUAGCAAACGGGAUUAGAAACCCUGGUAGUCC